GCUGGGAUAGCUCAGCUGGUAAAGCAUGAGACUGCUGAUCCCACAGUCGUGGGUUUGAGCCCCAUGUUGGGCA